UGCACAAGUAGAAAGUGUUUUGUCUCCUUGCAGAUUUGGUGGCAAAGUGAGCACAAUCCCCACCAAGCCUAGGCAAACUCUGCUGUGAAAGGAAGGCAAAUAAAGACCUGCAAGAGCUCCUUCACAGAGGCUGAGAGAAGAGACAAUGUUUACCCAAAAACCCUAAAGCAAACUCAGGAAUUAAGGCUGAACAUCUUUGUGUGUGUUUCCAAGCAAGACACUUUGUAAGCAAAGCUUUAUUUAACUCUCUGCUGUCACAAAUUCAAACAGUGAAAUGGCUCCUAACCCUAAUUAACUCAAAAUGUUUGACAUCUUAGGAAAGCCUUGAAGCACAGAAGGGCUUCCUAUCAGCCAAACCUACAGUGCAGACCAAAAGUUUUCCUAUUCAAAUGUCAGAUUUUCAAUUUCCAUCAGGCAUCAUAUAAACUACAAGCAACCUCACACAAGAGCCAGCAACCUUUUUGGUUCCUAGAGAGCAUUUUUCUAGGAUAAAAGCUUUAAAGAGAUCUACAGAUUAAUAACUGCAAGCAGAAAAUCCCAACUUCUUCUCAGACCCAAGGGGUGUGAAAAUGAGUAGAAGUGAUUGGGUCACACAGUGAAAAGGCAAAGCAGAAAUGUUCCUUGCAUGGUGUUGCAAGAGGGGUAGGAUAAGAGAACAAGGUCAGACCUUCCUCUGAGCUGAUCUCUCUGCCACUGGGCAGAGGAUGGAUCCAAGAGAACACAAAAUUUCUGCUACUACUCAGGCUAGUGACUGCCUAAGGAUAGAAAGCUUAACCCGCUCUUUCCUCAAAAGCUCUUGUCUUUCAUUUGUGCAGUUCCAACUCUAAGUGGCCUCUGAAAUGAUGCAAACAAGAUCUGGUUGCUCACUGCCUGUUAAUGACCCUGCUGCUGUGCAGCCCCAUCAGCUCUGUGCAGAGCUCAUUUCUGCUGAGCAAUCACAGCUCAGUGGCUGGAAACCCAGAGAUCAUCAAUUUCAAGAACUGCAAAGGUGAAGCUGGGAGCCACAGCCAGGAGAACUUGGUGCUGGUGAGAGAGAAAGGGAAAAGGCUGCUUACACCUGAUGUGCUCACAGAAGGAACAGGGUUUGACCAACAGAAGCAGCAGGAAAAUGACUUCUCCAUCUCCAGACGUGCAUCAUGGCUAUAACUCACUGACAAUGGUGGAUUUUAACAGGAAGGAGAAGAAUAAAAGCAAGAAUAAACACUCUGAACA
rnacentral:lncRNA from 1 species